rnacentral:sRNA from 1 species
CCACUGCUGAAUAUAGGCAUCUCCAGUGU